GUUUUUACAGGCACAGGAUAGGGGACGUGGCAGGCCAGGUGGUCUUGGAAAAUGCAAACUUGGGCAUGAAAACAGGAGCGCUUGUCCUCCCCUAUAUGCGUGUGCACAGGACCUGAGGUGAAGCCCUAGCCAGGGACCUGCCCUUCUCUACCCAGCGCUUUCCUUCUCUCAUCCCGAGUCAGUACUGCUGGGUCAUUGGCCUUAUCCCGCACCGAAGUUGAAACUUACACCAUCUGUUCACAUCAUCAGUUCUUCUGGUUCUCAUGCUUUUGAACUUCAACUGGCACAAUUCCACUGGCUCUCCUUAGUCUCCAGGUUGCAGAUGGCAGAUUAUAAAUCUCCUUAGCCUCCACCUUUAUAAUCCUAACUAUUACUGACACCUCUUUGAGGACAAAGGAAGUAGCUUUCUGCAAGCCAAAAAGACCUCAGAAAAACAACAAAUCUUCCAAACUCUUGAUUUUGACUUUUUGCCUCCAG
rnacentral:lncRNA from 1 species